UACGUAGGGUGCGAGCGUUAAUCGGAAUUACUGGGCGUAAAGCGUGCGCAGGCGGCUGUGCAAGACAGGUGUGAAAUCCCCGGGCUUAACCUGGGAACUGCACUUGUGACUGCAUGGCUGGAGUACGGCAGAGGGGGAUGGAAUUCCGCGUGUAGCAGUGAAAUGCGUAGAUAUGCGGAGGAACACCGAUGGCGAAGGCAAUCCCCUGGGCCUGUACUGACGCUCCAUGCACGAAAGCGUGGGGAGCAAACAGGAUAGAUACCCGGU
rnacentral:rRNA from 1 species